GUUGGGUGGUUCCCAUUCGGUCAGGUGUCUUUGGUCUGGUCUCUGGCUAGAGCGCAGGAAGGCCUUCCGGGUAGGAGGUUAGACCCAGCUCUUUAAGGCAAAGCCUAUUCCAUCGUUCAAGCAUGGUGGGCCUUGAUAAAUAAAUAUAGUCUAUGGUCCUAGAGAUUUAUUGUAGAAAGGCAGAGAGAAAGAUAGAAGGUAAAAGAGGGAGGCUGACCACCACCACGUGGAGAGAGGGGAGAUGGAAGAGAGAGAGAAAGAGAGCUAGAGAUGAGAGCAAGCAAGAAAGGUUAGAGCUUAAGAGAGAGAGGAGGGGACAAGCAGCUCCUUUUAUAGCGGUCUGGGCUACAUUGCAGUUGCCAGGUAACUGUGGGGAAGAGCAUACCUGGCUAUAGUCAGGUAACUGUGAGGGUAGAGUCUAGCUAGAAUGCCAGGAGCUUAGGGCUUUGUCUGUGUGAAUGAUAGUCACACAAUUAUGGAGUUUGGGGGUCUGUGGUGUCAGGCACCUGUCUUUGGGAAUGUGUCUUACUGUUCUGACCCUGGUAGAGUUUUCUACUGGGUCUCCGGAGCAAGCAUCGCUCAACCAAAACAGGCUGCCUUUCACGGUGCAUACUUGGGCUGCCUUCACAGUGGAAUAGGAAGUUCUCCUAAACCAGUGGAGAGACACCAAAUGGUGCUUUGAUAUAAUCACCCUUGCACCUUCCUUCAGCCAUGAAAGGAGGCCUUGUCUUAUAGAACAUUAAAUGGUAUUCAUUUAAUCUAACAAGUUCAGGAGAACAAAUGGGGCUCAUGCAGAUUUAUUAUUGGGGUUAUUUAAAUUCAGUGAUGACCUCUUCAUCUAUGUCAAUGUGUUCUAUGUGAACGAAGAUAACAGGAAAGCCCUUGCAGUGUCCUUAUGUCCAGGCUGAAGCUGAACUGGAAUCAAUUGUGGAGCCUCUAGGAUACUAAAGGAUGGUCAGAGUGCCAAUGCCCAAGAGACAACAUGCUCCCUCCUGCCACGGGCACUGGCUAUAAGUUGUGGGGUCCAGCUCUAUGUGAAUGCAUGUUGUUAAUGACUAUUUUAGAAUUUCUCAGCCCAAAUACUUUUAGCAUGUUAACUCUAAUGGUGCUGUUUGAUGGGAGCUUUCUUAUACCAUUUGAAACACACUUUAAAGUAUUUAUGAGCUUCGUGGCCUCUCCUCCACCCUCUAUUCUCAGUUGUCACUUGCAGGCAGAUAUGUUCUCGCUGAAAACCACUGAAGCAUGGUAGAACACUUCAUGUGAUCAUGUUCUCUAUGACUGUUGACAAAGUAUCCAUACUAAACAGAUGCCAGGGUAGUGUAAUUUAAGAACAACAACAAAACAUAUGUAGUAGGCUAUGUAUGUGCGUAUUAUUACUAAUAACACAUGGGAGUGGUCAGAUGGAGGAAAGGAAAGGGGAAAUGAAGUAAUUAUAUUUUACUCAAACUGAAACAUAAAAUAUAAAAGGAGCGAACUGAAAGCUUCCUCUUGUCCCUUUAAAAUUCUAGAUUCCUCACAUUUUAUAGGGCCUGGGAACACUUGAUAUCAUCUCUAUGCCACACAAGAACAAAACUUCAAACUUAAUGAAUGUGAAUAAAGUUAUCAGCUCCUUAGUAUUUGAAGAGGAUUUAUCCAGCAGCUGAACUCCCACCUGAGUCUGUUUUGAGGAACUCUCUCAAUAAAGCAGCAGGAGGAGAUUAUUUGAGAGUUUUAGGCUUAAAAUCUUUAUAGCUUCAAAUCCUGUUCCUAUUUAAGGCUGGUCAUCUGACGGAUAAACACACAAUGUGAUUUCAUUCUGCAAUAGAGUGAGAUGGAGCCAGGAUGUAUCACCCUUCCAGCCUCCAGUAUGGCUCUACAGCUCAGGCUCUCAGGGCAUUUGGUGUCUGCCAGAGCAAACAGUACAUGGAUACAAGCCCCAGGGAACUUCUGGGUAGGUUCUUGGUUGCUGAGCCUAUGUCUUGGCACUUUGUUCAAAUACAUCAUUGGGUUAGAAAGAUUUAGGCCAAGUGCAAAACUGUACAACCAUCAAGGCAGUGAGAUCUUUGACUCCCCAAAUAGAUACAAACUCCAAAGAGCAGGCUGCCAGCUAGAUGAUGACAAGUGUUUUAUGUCAUCUACAAGAAGUGGCUUUGGAUUCAGUGAAUAUGAUUACUCCGGAAAGGAUUUUUUAAAGAGCUGGUCAAUUAUAAUUACUCAUACAACGGGAAGCUUUGAUAAAAGGAAGAGAGGGCUGGGCAGUUAGCAGCUAUGUGAUAAAAGCUACAGGGAAGGUGGUGCUUCACUGGCUGUUAAAGAGAGGCAGAGGCUCCCUGAGCUAAAAAGUUUGCUGGCCAUCUAUGAGCUGUUCCCUGCUCCUCCAUUCAUCCUGAGCUGCUCAGGAAAGCUGUGAGAAAUUAUUGAAGAUUAUUCGGGAGGGAGAUGGAGUCACGUAAAUAAAGCAGAUGAUAGAGGAGUCACGUAAAUAAAGCAGAUGAUAGAGACGUAUUUAUGAGUGAAAAGGAGAUUGAUUGAGGCCAUAAAUUUCUCUUUUAUUUCUUGUAUCUGGGUGUGAUUUCCAGAGCAAUAAUUUACUGUGUUGGUUUAUUGCUGUCUUUCUGUUCUGAUGGUUGGAAACCUUGGAUUUUAAUUGAAACCACUGCCGGCCUCCCUGAAUCAUUGGAUGUUGGAUGCCACUGUGAGAGUGUCCCAAAUGUUUUCUGGUUCUGGUAACUCCUACCAGGGCUACAGCAGAGUUUGAACCUGCUAAGUGCUGAACCAUGAUAACAUAUUCCAUGGUCCUUCAUUUAGCGUUUAUCAGAAAACUGGAAAGGGAUUUGGUGAUUGGUCCAAAAUCACUCAUGUAUUCAGCCCUGUGAACAUCAUGCAAGAUAUAAUCUGAAGCAAUCAAACAUAGUCUGUAUCAAAGUUAGGAACUACAGCAUGUUUGUCCUAGGUUUUACCUAGAUAUUUGUGGUAGUGGUUUGGGUUGACAUGUGUGUUGUGACUAAGUGUAGCUUCAUUGGGACUUCUGGAGGCUAUUUGUUGAUAAUAUAAUACUGUGUCUUAGGCAUGUUUUUGCCUCAAGUCAUGAGGUUGCACAAAAGUCAUUGUUGACUGGUUUUAGGUUAUUUGGAAAUCAAGAUCUCAUCCAUUUUAAUUUCCUUGUCAUUUGUCAGGCUCAGAUUAUCUGGAAACACCAAAUGAAUCCUGAGUGUCCCACAUGGGCAGUUACUGU
rnacentral:lncRNA from 1 species